UACGAAGGGGGCUAGCGUUGUUCGGAAUUACUGGGCGUAAAGGGCGCGUAGGCGGUGUGUCAAGUCAGGCGUGAAAGCCCCGGGCUCAACCUGGGAACCGCGCUUGAGACUGGCACGCUCGAGUUCGGGAGAGGAUGGUGGAAUUCCCAGUGUAGAGGUGAAAUGCGUAGAUAUCGGGAGGAACACCAGUGGCGAAGGCGGCCUUCUGGGCUCAACCUGACGCUGAUACGCGAAAGCGUGGGGAGCGAACAGG
rnacentral:rRNA from 1 species